UACGGGGGGAGCAAGCGUUGUUCGGAUUUACUGGGCGUAAAGGGCGCGUAGGCGGCCACGACAAGUCACUUGUGAAAUCUCCGGGCUUAACUCGGAACGGUCAAGUGAUACUGUCGGGCUAGAGUGCAGAAGGGGCAACUGGAAUUCUCGGUGUAGCGGUGAAAUGCGUAGAUAUCGAGAGGAACACCGGUGGCGAAGGCGGCAUCCUGGACCGGCAUUGACGCUGAGGAGCGAAAGCCAGGGGAGCAAACGGG
rnacentral:rRNA from 1 species